AAGAGAAGAAGUGUGUGUGUUUGCAUGCGUGUGUACGGGUUUGCAUUGUCUGUUUCUGUGUAUGUGUGCAAAGGAUGCAUUGUCUUUGUGUGUAAGGGUUGCAUUGUGUGUUUCUCUGUGUGUAAGGGAAGCAUGUUGUGUUUCUGUGUAUGUAUAGGGAUGCAUUGUGUGUGUGUGCGCGCAUAGUGUGAAAGAGCUCCCUGUCUUGGCC